AGGCUCCCAGUAGACGACUGGGUUGAUAGGCCAGAUAUGGAAGCCCUGUAAGGGGUGGAGUUGACUGGUACUAAUAGGCCGAGGGCUUGUCCUC
rnacentral:rRNA from 1 species